CCCAAAUCAAACCAAACACACCAAGAAGUAUCCACACUAGAAGGUUGUUGCUUAAACCAAAGGGAAGUCCAGUCCCUUCUGUGCUCAUUCUCUCAUCCACCAAUGCCGUUGCUGGCCCUGCUGUGCUUGUUGCCAUUGCUGAUGCUGCUGCCAUCAUCGAUAAAACCAUGCUUGUGCUUAUGCCCUUGGAUCUUGCCUCUUUCUUCUCCUCUAGGCUGCACUUGACCUUGCACCCUGUCCUUGCCAUUACCGGCAACCCAAGAAUAGGAGUGGAAUGAAUCCUGGUUGUUUUCUUGAAGCUUGCAGGGGCCAAGAGUGUUGGCAACUUGGUGGUUGUAAUGGUGGCCAUUUUCCAGAUGGGUAGUGCAAGAAUUUUAGAAUUUGGUCACAGACUGG
rnacentral:misc_RNA from 1 species